rnacentral:sRNA from 1 species
GGAUGUGAGGGCGAUCUGGCUGUGACAUCUGUCACCUCAUUGAUCACCAGGGUUGAUCUGGCUGGCUCGGCGAGUGUCCCCUUCCUCCCUCAACGAUCCAUGUGCGUCCCUCCUGAAGCUGCGCGCUUGGUCGAAGAGGAUGAACACCUGCAAUAGAGGAGGACCGUUCCUCUGUCAAGGAUAUACGAGUAGCUGUGUUCCCCUGCUAGAACCUCCAAACAAGCUCUCAACAUAAAAAUACAAUUACUGUUGCAUU